CCUACGGGUGGCUGCAGUGGGGAAUAUUGGACAAUGGGCGCAAGCCUGAUCCAGCCAUGCCGCGUGAGUGACGAAGGCCUUAGGGUUGUAAAGCUCUUUUGUCGGGGACGAUAAUGACGGUACCCGAAGAAUAAGCUCCGGCUAACUUCGUGCCAGCAGCCGCGGUAAUACGAAGGGAGCUAGCGUUGUUCGGAAUCACUGGGCGUAAAGCGCACGUAGGCGGAUUGAUAAGUCAGGGGUGAAAUCCCGGGGCUCAACCUCGGAACUGCCUUUGAUACUGUCAGUCUCGAGUCCGGAAGAGGUGAGUGGAAUUCCUAGUGGAGAGGUGAAAUUCGUAGAUAUUAGGAAGAACACCGGUGGCGAAGGCGGCUCACUGGUCCGGUACUGACGCUGAGGUGCGAAAGCGUGGGGAGCAAACAGGAUUAGAUACCCUUGUAGUC
rnacentral:rRNA from 1 species